UACAGAGGGUGCGAGCGUUGUCCGGAAUCACUGGGCGUAAAGGGCGCGUAGGCGGCUCGGUAAGGUUGCGGUGAAAGCCCGGGGCUCAACCCCGGGUCGGCCGUGGCAACUGCGGAGCUGGAGCACUGUAGAGGCAGGUGGAAUUCCGGGUGUAGCGGUGGAAUGCGUAGAGAUCCGGAAGAACACCGGUGGCGAAGGCGGCCUGCUGGGCAGUAGCUGACGCUGAGGCGCGACAGCGUGGGGAGCAAACAGG
rnacentral:rRNA from 1 species